rnacentral:sRNA from 1 species
UAGUCAAAUUUAUUGCUGGACUGACUC